rnacentral:rRNA from 1 species
AUGUCUGCUUCUGGAGGGAUCUCUGGGUCCGGAAGCGGGCAGCGGCGAGACCUCGGGGACCGGGGACAUUCUGGAUCGAGCACGGAUUCAAGUGGAUCCUCUUCCACAACAACGAAGAAGAAAGCAAAGCCAAUCCCCUUGAAUGACUUCUUGACUAGGAAGCAUGGUAAUCCUGCUGUUUCCUCAGCAUGGAACAAAGUUCAAGAUCCUGCACAACCUCUCUCGAGUGGUUCCUCCUCAGAGCUCUCAAAUCUGGGUCUUCAGCUGGCCCGUCAAGUCAUUGCCCGUCGAGCCAUGGCCAGUCAAGCCCUGUCAGAGCUUGGCCUUGAAACCAAUAUCUUGAAGAGAGAGUACUACAACCUGCUGAAGAGCUAUGGAUGGUUUUUGAAAACAACAACUAAUUUUCUUAAGACCCAAAGUCUUUUUGAUGAAGAAAAUAUAGGAGCUGUGACAUUGGAUUUUGUAAAUCUCCCUAUGACGAUGAGGUCUUUUUCUGAGUAUGAUUCUGUAGACUUGGUGAAAAGGGACAUAUCAGCGCUUGGUCGGACGCAUGAUCUACUGCUAACCAUCUUCCAUGGAAGGCAAGUAUACAUCAGCGCCGAGAAGCAUGUCUUUGAGCAGCAUGCAGCUGGUAAAUCGUGGGCUGGUGACUUUACAGCGGAAGAUAUCUAUAUCAUACAGUUCACCUCCACUGAUAUCAAGUGCCAUAUCCGAGCCAAGAGCAAUACCAUACCAUGCACUUCAGACAACAAGGUUCUAGAUAUUAAGCAGAUUCACAAGUCAAUGGCAGAUAAGUACCAAUUCAAUGGUAACUUUCCUGCACAUUUCGAGUGCCUUGAAAAGGAUAUCAAUUCUCUGACUGCUGUUUCAUUGGAUACAAGCUCGAUAUUGACGUAUCUUCCUUACCACGCGGCAUUCAUGCCACGUGGGGCAAAUGAGGCCAUAACACAGAAGUUACAUGACGCUACUGAGGGCGUCUGGAUGGAGCCUGACGAGUUUCAAACUUAUCGCUUGCUGUUUGAGUCAAACCCAGUUGACGGUGAUGAUUGGAGAUUGGGGUAUUGCAAAUCUACAGACCCAUUGCUGAAAAAGGUGUACUUGCAUGACUACAGAACUGCUUUCCAGAACAUCUAUGGGAACACAGGGGUCCAGCUGACCUCCGGCAACACAGCUCGUGACCACAUGCAGGCCCAGCUGACCCCCGACAACACGGAGGCCCAGCUGACCCCCGACAACACCAAGGCCCAGCUCACCCCUGACAACACCCAGGCCCAGCAGUCUCAGGGGAGCUCAAGCACCGUCAAAGGGGUGACCCCUGACAACAUGGAGGCCCAGCUGACCCCCGACAACACCAAGGCCCAGCUGACCCCUGACAACACCCAGGCCCAGCAGUCUCAGGGGAGCUCAAGCACCGUCAAAGGCACGGGGGCUGGAAACAAAUUCAACAAAAGCAGGAAAAGUAAGCUUUCCUACAAACGUCACCUGAACGUCCAUAUCCAUACCCACAUGAAAGGUCAGAGGCCGUUGAGAGGCUUGUAUCAAGCAGAGUUGUAUUCUGCAAAGAAGAAUCCUGUUCUAGGAGAAAUCUUCACUGAGCUGUUCAAUGGCCCGACCAUGAAAUUACCUAAAUUCUUUGGUCCCAUGUGGGAGCUGUACUGUGCAGCGAGGGACGCCCAGGUUGAAUGA